UCUUGUUUAAAUGUGAUUGGUUUGAUCUGAUACUUAUUGAAGUUAAUCAUAAGCGAUCUUUUAAUAUAUAUGAACCAUUUGUUCUUGCUAUUCAAACCGCUCAAAUCAAUUAUACGACAUAUCUUAGUUUAAGGCAUGUUGGUGCAGAAUUUCACCGACGCCGGAGAAGCUGGAGUUGAGAUAACCGCGGCCGCCGUCGGGACCUGCAAGGGAAGUCUAAACC
rnacentral:lncRNA from 1 species